AUGACGCCUGGAGCAUUGUGUUUAUUCCUCACAGCUGCAGCUGUUCUAACUGGACUUUGCCGAGGAGAUUCUGUCUCACAGACACCGGCUUCAAUUGCAGUGAAUGAGGAGGACAAUGUCCAGUUGUUCUGUAAUUAUACGACAACAAGCAGCACUCCUUACCUUUUCUGGUACCUCCAACAUUCCAAUGGUUCCAUGGAGAUUCUGCUACAGAGAAGCAAAUUUGGAGCGAACGCAGAAAGGUUUCAAGGGGACCGGUUGUCCUCAAAGCUCGAUCAUGUGAACUGCACCAUCAACCUGAAAGUGGUGAAAACAGAACUGGCAGACUCUGCAGUGUAUUACUGCGCACUGCGCCCCACGGAGAGUCAGAACAGGGCCGACACUGUACAAAAACUGUCAGGGAGUCACUGA